CUAUCUUACCAUUUACUAUUUUUCCUUACCUCACAGGUAUUAGCUGUUAAGUUAGCAUUUGCUUUCUUUCCAGACAGAAAACACACUUCCUACAGUGUGAAAGCAAAACUAAUCAGUGACACAGAGCAUUUGUGUGGAAGGUCUACCUUCAAAAUACCAGUUACUUAUUUCAGUUCAGCAAGGCUGGCAGCUGGCUAUUCACUUACUCAGGCACUUGCAAGUGCACUGAGCCCAGAACAACUUGGAGAUGACCCACUUCUGUUCUGUGCUAUUCUUCACUCCACAAGGACACCCAGAGACUGCAUUUGACAGAGCGACCUGCAAGUGUUUCUCCAGGGAUCAAACAGGAUCAGAGAAAUUAUGUGCUGUUCGAGUUGUUCACUGAAGCAGAAUCCCUCACAAACAUGUGCAUAUGGUGCUGGGCGCUUUAGGGAUCAAGCUAAUAUGUUUACCUUGUUGUACAUUUU
rnacentral:lncRNA from 1 species